rnacentral:other from 2 species
CAUUCCCUGCGGUGCUCGACAGCUGGCCCGAUGUUCCCUUGAGCCUAUGCUUAUGCACCCCGGGACCGGGUCACGGUUGCCAGUGUGCAAGUCCGCCUCGUAGCGGAAAGCCUGAGGCGCCGUUUCGGUCCCACUUGAACCCCACGGUUCAAGGAUAACGGCAAGUACCGGCACAGGCGGGGAAUGU